GGAUGAACGCUGGCGGCGUGCUUACCACAUGCAAGUCGAACGGAAAGGCUCCUGCUUGCAGGGGUACUCGAGUGGCGAACGGGUGAGUAACACGUGGGUGAUCUGCCCUGCACUUCGGGAUAAGCCUGGGAAACUGGGUCUAAUACCGGAUAGGACCACAUUUUGGAUGGUGUGGUGGAAAGUUUUUCGGUGUGGGAUGAGCUCGCGGCCUAUCAGCUUGUUGGUGGGGUAAUGGCCUACCAAGGCGUCGACGGGUAGCCGGCCUGAGAGGGUGUACGGCCACAUUGGGACUGAGAUACGGCCCAGACUCCUACGGGAGGCAGCAGUGGGGAAUAUUGCACAAUGGGCGCAAGCCUGAUGCAGCGACGCCGCGUGGGGGAUGACGGCCUUCGGGUUGUAAACUCCUUUCGCUAGGGACGAAGCGUUUUUGUGACGGUACCUGGAGAAGAAGCACCGGCUAACUACGUG
rnacentral:rRNA from 1 species